rnacentral:misc_RNA from 1 species
GGAUGUAAAAGUCGUAACAAGGUCUCCGUUGGUGAACCAGCGGAGGGAUCAUUACAGAGUUGCAAAACUCCCAAACCAUUGUGAACGUUACCUAUCCCGUUGCUUCGGCGGGCGGCCCGGGCCCCGCGCCCGGCGCCCCCCGGCCCCCCGUGGGCGCCCGCCGGAGGUAAACCAAACCCUUGAAUUGCAUGGCCUCUCUGAGUCUUCUGUACUGAAUAAGUCAAAACUUUCAACAACGGAUCUCUUGGUUCUG